rnacentral:rRNA from 1 species
UACGUAGGGGGCAAGCGUUGUUCGGAAUUACUGGGCGUAAAGGGCGCGUAGGCGGCACGGCAAGUCAGGAGUGAAAGCCCGGGGCUCAACCCCGGAAUGUCUUUUGAAACUGCCGAGCUAGAGUGCGUUCGGGGCAGAGGGAAUUCCUGGUGUAGCGGUGAAAUGCGUAGAGAUCAGGAAGAACACCAGUGGCGAAGGCGCUCUGCUAGGCCGUAACUGACACUGAGGGACGAAAGCUAGGGGAGCGAAUGGG